ACUGCCCUAUUGUGACGUACAUGCAGAGUCUGAAGCGUGGUGUGCGGCAGUCAGCGAGAGAGGCCUACACUGUUCCGUGCGGCAGGUUCGACUGGGACACGUGUACGUCGUACAGAAUCGUGCAGAAGUUCGUGUACAAGACAACGUUCAAGGUUGGCUACAGAAGGAAGUGCAGGGAACCGUGAUCACUGUCAACCACAUUGCAUAGAGCGGACCCUCAUUAACCCGCACUUCCAUAUCUCCAUAUAUCUGUCAGCCCGUGGAUUGUUUUCAAUGCGACAAAAUCUGUUUUGACACUAAGUCGUCGCUGGACAUAAAAUAUCAUGUACUAAGCUCGACGGGCACAAUGACCAAGUGGACCGAAGCCCCUCAGUAGACAUGGCAGGAAAUCAUUUGAUUCAGUUCGAUUCCCAGAUUCCUGUUAAUAAUCCUCAGUUUGUUAGUACCGUCCAUUGAUCACUGGUUUCAAGAAGACCGAUAAAAGGUUAAGAUCUGCAUCUCUUUUGAUGAAUCUCUCCACAAUAUGCAUUCUAACUGAACUGCUCUUAAUGGGCUUUAAGUUAUUCGAUGUGAAAAGAUUUCACUUUGACAUCUUCCACCAUAAACCACAGUCAGAAUUUGAAGACUGACUGUCAAAGACUAACGUUACAUUAAGUGACGUGGUUGUUGACAAGAUGUAAAAUGUAUUUGGGGGACAUAUUUGUAAUUCAUAGCUGGAUCAUUAUUUGCUGGUUUUUCAUCUCAACACGUUUGAUAUAAUCCAACCACAGCAUGGAAUACAAGGCUCACAAUGUAAGUAUUUGUAUUAAACAGAAUAUCAAGCUAAA